CUCUUAGAUGUUCUGGGCUGCACGCGCGCUACACUGAUGUGUUCAUCGGGUUCGACCUUGCCCGGGAGGGUUGGGUAAUCCUUUCAAAACACAUCGUGAUGGGGAUAGAUUAUUGCAAUUAUUAAUCUUCAACGAGGAAUUCCUAGUAAGCGCGAGUCAUCAGCUCGUGCUGAUUACGUCCCUGCCCUUUGUACACACCGCCCGUCGCUACUACCGAUUGAACGUUUUAGUGAGGUAUUUGGACUGGACCUUCGGAGGUUCGCGCCUCCGUUGCUGUUCGGGAAGACUCCCAAACUUGNGNGUUUAGNGGAAGUAAAANUCGUANCA
rnacentral:rRNA from 1 species